GCCAAAAGGCAUGUAGAAGUUCCUGGGCCAGGCCAGGCGGAACCCACAUCACAGAAGCUUGAACCACAGCAGUGACAACACCGGAUCCUUAAUCAGCUGCGUCACAAGGGAACCCUUAAGUUUCUUUAUAGCAAAAAAACAAAAAAACAAACAAAAAAACAGUAUCAUUUACCAUAUUAAAAUAAUUACAUGACAGUUGAAAGAAAAAAUGUCACUGACAUUAAUAGCUAAAAUUCCCCUUUGGAGACACAGACUGAGCCUCUGCUUUGCCACCACCCAGAUGGGUAAAGCCCCCCCUCUCCCCAGGCCCCCAUCUUCCCAUUUUUUAAAUGAGAAUUCUGGGUGAGAGACUCUUGAAAUUCCAUCCACCUUCCAGCUCUAAAUGGCAAACUCUCAAUCCAUGAAUGAUCCUACCUUAAAAGAAAUAAAAUCAGAAAACCCACUUCUACACAAUGGGAGCCAAAGGGAGGAGCUGGGGGGGGGAUGCAGUGCGGGGAAGAGAAGGUUAUUCACAUUCCAAAAGGAUUUGCUCUUACAAAAGGAUUAACAGCAGAGUUGCUUUAAAUAGCAGCUUAAGCCUUGUUUAUGGAUUACUAAGUACUGGAUGGAGAGGUGGAGGGGCCCAGGAAUGAGGAGCAAAGCUUGCUUAGGCCCAACCAGAAAUUAAAAAUGUGCACGCUUGAACAUUAUAACGAGUUCAACAACAGAAAACCAUGCCAUUUCAAAGAAUCCUCUUCCUACCCAACAGUUUGGUUCUGCAUCAAUUGCAUUAAAAAUGUGCCUGUAGCCAUGAGCCAGUGUAGAACAGUGAUCCAGCAUGCUUUUAAAAAAAAUAAACACAUAAGGAUCUGGCGUUGCCAUGAACUGCGGUAUGAUGCUCGGAUCUGGUGUUGCUGUGGUUGUGUGAACCUAAAAAGAUCUCCCCCAAAAACAAAAACACAUAAGCCCCUAUUGUAAGACGCGGAUAAUUUAUUAAAUGUUUUAAGUGCUUGUCAUGUACCAGGACUUACUGAGCAGGUGACCUGCAUUAUUAUUUCAUCUAACUACCAAAGCAACCCAGUGAAGAGGGUUUAACUGUUACCCGUCAUUUUGUAGAUGAGGAAACUAAGACUGAGAGAGGGGAUAUGAUUCACCCAGAGCCAGUGGAUGGCUGAAAGAAUACUCAAGCUGAAGUCUGAACCAAGGCCAGAGGUUAGAUUAUUAAAGGUAGGAUCCUUGCCUCAAGGAGGACACAGAAGAUCAGUCAAGGAGGUCAACAGAUACAGAGAAGGACGGUAAGCACCCUAGGAGAGACUUUUGUGGGAGCAGAGGAAGAGGACACCCAGGGUCUAGGGUGUGCCCAGAGUCGGGGGGUGCCCCCAAACCAGAUGUGACCCCCCCCUUUGUCAACCUGUUGCCGAAACUCAGCCUCUGUCUGCUGUUGCCGAAUAGAAACGCGGAGACAGAGUUUUUGAUGAAGGAGAAAAAGAUAACUUUAUUGCUUUGCCAGGCAAAGGGGGCCACAGCAGGCUAAGGCCUUAAAGACUGUGCCCCCCUUGGAGAGACUAGGAGGUGGUUUUAUAGUGUGGGGAGUGGAACACAGGGCCCCGGAUAAAGAUCAGAGUGGAGGCAAGCUGGCAUUGUCUUUCAGAGCUGGAGUUUCGGGGUCCCAGGACUGGUUUGGGUGGUCCUCCCUCCUCCCAGAAUGAAGAUGCUUCAUCAAGGAGUGCUUCCAUUUGUUGAGGGUAUUAGCUCUGCAGAAAGGGUUCAAGAUCUUGUUCUGUGUAUUCCUGGAGGAAGAACCAGGACCCUGGCUCAAGGCUGCUCUGUUGUCUCUGGAUGCUCCUCCCUGGUGUCUGCGUCCCCUCCCUUCCCUGAUGAGCAGCUGCCCUUUGGAACUCAGGGAAGGUCGUGGAGGCUGAGGGACACUGUCACGAGAACCUCUCUGAGCAAAAACCAGUCUCUCCUGGGGCCUCUACUCCCCAAAGGUGGGCGGCGGGCCUGGAGGAGGCGGUGCGAAGGGAGAACGAGCAACUCUUGGCAGGGGCUUGCCCAGGGCUGACAUCGCCUUACCAGGCUACCUGAGGGCUUCUCAUGCCUCAUUUUCCUCCCUUGAUAAAUGGGGAUAUUAGCUCACCCACCUCGGUGGGCAGGGAAACACCAGUGAUUAAUCCGUUAACGUCUGCGAAACGCUCCUGCUCUAUGGAGAAGGGCACCUUGGGAGAGAAGCUAUAAAAACACUGAGGGGCAGCCUAUUAUCAGCUCGAUCACUAUUACUGUCAUUUUCAUCAUGACACGUGCUGCCCAAAGACCUGCCGUGGCUCCCCACUGCCUGGAAAACGGGCAGCUAGCAGCCUGGCGGCCAAGGCCACUGGUACCACUACUGCCCUGGUCCUCAUCCUCCUUCUCAUCCCCAGGUGUUCAGGCCCUGUGAGCCCCUCCGGGCGAGCCCACUGCCCCCACAUCAUCCCAUGGUACCCGUGUUCCAGGGCAAGCACGGCCCUCAACAUCCAAGCUGGAAGCUCAACACCCAGUGCGCCCGUUUUUGUUGCUGAGCCCGUUAUCUGGCCUCUCUGGAGGGUUCUGUCAGCACAGGUACAGAGUGGAGGUGGGGGAGACACAAAAAUGGGGUCUUGCACAAGUUUCUCUCUCCCCAGAGCGAUAAGACAAGAUUCUAUAUCGACUCCAUCUAGAUAAUAAGCAAAAUCUCCAACUAGAUAAUAAGUGCCCUGAGGACUAGAUGGCAUUCAGAUCAAGUCCAAAAUUCAUAAAUAGAGCCUCGGAAAGUAGUUAAUGGUACAGCAAAGAAUCUGGGUUCAGAGAGAUUGGAGCUCCCCAUUCCACCUCCCAUCACCUCCCUGAAACCAACUUCCUCCUCUUCAAAAUGGAGAUGAUGUGUCUGCCUGAGAGAGGACAAAUCUGGUCUUAGGAGUUCCUGGGUGGCCUAGGGAUUAAGGAGCCAGCCUUGCCACUG
rnacentral:lncRNA from 1 species